GAUGAACGCUGGCGGCGUGCCUAAUACAUGCAAGUCGAGCGAACGGACGAGAAGCUUGCUUUUCUGAUGUUAGCGGCGGACGGGUGAGUAACACGUGGAUAACCUACCUAUAAGACUGGGAUAACUUCGGGAAACCGGAGCUAAUACCGGAUAAUAUUUUGAACCGCAUGGUUCAAAAGUGAAAGACGGUCUUGCUGUCACUUAUAGAUGGAUCCGCGCUGCAUUAGAUAGUUGGUAAGGUAACGGCUUACCAAGGCAACGAUGCAUAGCCGACCUGAGAGGGUGAUCAGCCACACUGGAACUGAGACAAGGUCCAGACUCCUACGGGAGGCAGCAGUAGGGAAUCUUCCGCAAUGGGCGAAAGCCUGACGGAGCAACGCCGCGUGAGUGAUGAAGGUCUUCGGAUCGUAAAACUCUGUUAUUAGGGAAGAACAUAUGUGUAAGUAACUGUGCACAUCUUGACGGUACCUAAUCAGAAAGCCACGGCUAACUACGUG
rnacentral:rRNA from 1 species